UACGAAGGUGGCAAGCGUUGUUCGGAUUUACUGGGCGUACAGGGAGCGUAGGCGGUUGGAUAAGCCCUCCGUGAAAUCUCCAGGCUUAACCUGGAAAGUGCAGAGGGGACUGUUCAGCUAGAGGAUGGGAGAGGAGCGCGGAAUUCCCGGUGUAGCGGUGAAAUGCGUAGAGAUCGGGAGGAAGGCCGGUGGCGAAGGCGGCGCUCUGGAACAUUUCUGACGCUGAGGCUCGAAAGCGUGUGGAGCAAACAGG
rnacentral:rRNA from 1 species